rnacentral:tRNA from 1 species
GGGUCUGUAGUUAAACGGUAUAAUUUUGCUCUCCAAAAGCAAAGUUCCCUGUUCGAAUCAGGGCAGACCCGCAA